rnacentral:SRP_RNA from 1 species
GCUGGGAGCAGUGGCACGUGCCUGUAAUCCCAGCUACUCCGGAGGCUGAGGUGGGAGGAUCGCUUGAGCCCAGGAGUUCUGGGCUGUGGUGCGCUAUGCCGAUCAGGUGUCUGCACUAAGUUCGGCAUCAGUAUGGUGACCUCCGGAAGCCAGGGACCACCAGGUAGCCUAAGGAGGGGUGAACCCACCCAGGUCGGAAAUGGAGAAGGUCAAAACUCCCCUGCUGAUCAGUAGUGGGAUCGCGCCUGUGAAUAGCUACUGCACUCCAGCCUGGGUAACAUAGCGAGACCCUGUCUCU